rnacentral:rRNA from 1 species
CGCAAGCCUGACGGAGCAAGACCGCGUGCGGGAUGACGGCCUAAUGGUUGUAAACCCCUUUUCUCUGGGAAGAAGAUGACGGUACCAGAGGAAUCAGCCUCGGCUAACUCCGUGCCAGCAGCCGCGGUAAUACGGAGGAGGCAAGCGUUAUCCGGAAUUAUUGGGCGUAAAGCGUCCGUAGGUGGUUAUUCAAGUCUGCUGUCAAAGCGUGGGGCUUAACUCCAUAGAGGCAGUGGAAACUGGAUGACUUGAGUGCGGUAGGGGUCGAGGGAAUUCCCAGUGUAGCGGUGAAAUGCGUAGAUAUUGGGAAGAACACCAGUGGCGAAAGCGCUCGACUGGGCCUGCACUGACACUGAGGGACGAAAGCUAGGGGAGCG